rnacentral:rRNA from 1 species
AUUGAACGCUGGCGGCAGGCCUAACACAUGCAAGUCGAGCGGCGCGUCGGACGGGUGAGUAAUGCCUAGGAAUCUGCCUGUUAGUGGGGGAUAACGUCCGGAAACGGGCGCUAAUACCGCAUACUAUCAGAUGAGCCUCGGUCGGCUUAGCUAGUUGGUGGGGUAAAGGCUUACCAAGGCGACGAUCCGAAACUGGACUGAGAGGAUGAUCAGUCACACUGGAACUGAGACACGGCCCAGACUCCUACGGGAGGCAGCAGUGGGGAAUAUUGGGCAAUGGGCGAAAGCCUGAUCCAGCAAUGCCGCGUGUGUGAAGAAGGUCUUCGGAUUGUAAAGCUCUUUUAGUAGAGAGGCGUUACCAAAAGAAAAAGCACCGGCUAACUACGUGCCAGCAGCCGCGGUAAUUC